rnacentral:rRNA from 1 species
UGAAACGCCUCAGCGCCGAUGGUACUGCGUCUUAAGACGUGGGAGAGUAGGUCGCCGCCAGGU